rnacentral:rRNA from 1 species
AGGAUGAACGCUGGCGGCGUGCUUAACACAUGCAAGUCGAACGGUGAAGUGAGGAGCUUGCUCCUUGCGGAUCAGUGGCGAACGGGUGAGUAACACGUGAGUAACCUGCCCUUGACUCUGGGAUAAGCGUUGGAAACGACGUCUAAUACCGGAUACGACCUCGAGCGGCAUCUCUUGAGGUGGAAAGCUCCGACGGUGAGGGAUGGGCCCGCGGCCUAUCAGCUUGUUGGUGGGGUAAUGGCCUACCAAGGCGACGACGGGUA